rnacentral:rRNA from 1 species
UGACGGCCCCACUCCUUCCCAUUCCGAACAGGACAGUGAAACGUCUCCGCGCCGAUGAUAGUUGGUUGUAUUUCCAGUGAAAGUAGGUCAUCGCCAGGC